CCUGUAUAAAUAUUAUUUUAAUGAAAAAUAUAAAUAUAUCCAUAGUACUUACAUUACUGUUUACAAAAUGGUUAUAAUUAAACUUUUUUUUUAUUUUAUCAUUUGCUAUGGGUUGUUCAGUAUGAUAUUAAAUGGAAAAGUUAGGAAUGACACUGUGGUCUUUUUUAUUUUCUUUUUUUUUUACUUUUUUUAUAUGAAUUUUGUUAAUAAUACUAAAACUCAUUAAUAAGUUAUUAAAAACGUAUCCGAUGUUUUUUUUUAUGAUGUUAUCUUUUUUGUUUAUCACUAAUGAGAAGAAUACAAUACAGAAUGCAAUAUAUGUAUAUGCAAAGUCUAAAAUUACAACUAUGAAAAUUAGAUGGGGAAAUCCCUUUGGUUGGUGACCAAGGCAACCGAUACGGUGGAAAUCACGCUUGGAGAUUUUUUUUUGCAGGGUAAGUAAACUUCAGUUUAAAGUUUACUUUCUUCUCGAUCUUUUAUUUCAGAGGAAGUAAACUUUCAGUUCGAAGUUUUUCAACUUUCUCAUAAUGUUCAUAUUUUAUCAGGAAAAUUAAAGGCAAC